rnacentral:rRNA from 1 species
UACAGAGGGGGCAAGCGUUGUUCGGAAUUACUGGGCGUAAAGGGCGCGUAGGCGGCCGCCUAAGUCAGACGUGAAAUCCCUCGGCUCAACCGGGGAACUGCGUCUGAUACUGGGUGGCUUGAAUCCGGGAGAGGGAUGCGGAAUUCCAGGUGUAGCGGUGGAAUGCGUAGAUAUCUGGAGGAACACCGGUGGCGAAGGCGGCAUCCUGGACCGGCAUUGACGCUGAGGCGCGAAAGCCAGGGGAGCAAACGGG